UCUCCGUUGGUGAACCAGCGGAGGGAUCAUUAUCGAGUUUAUAACUCCCAAACCCUAUGUGAACUUACCACUUGUUGCUUCGGCGCGCGCUUCGGUGCCGCCGAGGACACUUAAACUCUUUGUUUUCAUAAGCAUUUCUGAGUGGCCGAAGGGCAAAAUACAAAUGAAUCAAAACUUUCAACAACGGAUCUCUUGGUUCUG
rnacentral:misc_RNA from 1 species